UACAGAGGGUGCAAGCGUUGUUCGGAAUUAUUGGGCGUAAAGGGCGCGUAGGCGGUCCUGAUCGUCGGAUGUGAAAGGCCUGGGCUCAACCUGGGAACUGCAUCCGAUACGGCGGGACUGGAGUGUGGGAGAGGUUGGUGGAAUUCCCAGUGUAGAGGUGAAAUUCGUAGAUAUUGGGAAGAACACCGGUGGCGAAGGCGGCCAACUGGACCACAACUGACGCUGAGGCGCGAAAGCGUGGGGAGCGAACAGG
rnacentral:rRNA from 1 species